rnacentral:lncRNA from 1 species
CAAAAUCAGCCGCCCCCAAAUUCCCUUAUCUCUCAAACUCUCUCUAAGACCACUCGAAACCCUAGCCUCCUAUCGUCUUAUUUGACCAAACCCAUCAGCGUCCAUGGCUUCCCAGGCCAUGGACAACCUGUACUCUCUUCCAUCCACCCUAAACCAUGAUUAUUCAAGGUUUUCGAGGUUCGAUCUUCAACAGGCCUGUUCAGAUCCUCUGCCGAUCUGAGUUCGUUUGGUUUCUCCGGCUCUGUUCCGACGUGUUUGAGCUUUGAUAAGGCUUAUCCAUGGCCCAGACUUGUUCGAAGACCAGAUCUUUCCACGCCUUCUCAUUUCUAGGGUUUCUGAGAAACCCUAAAAAGCUUGUUCGAGGUUUUCCUUCCGUUGUUUUCUUAGAUCUAUAACUAAUCCGUGUUAUUUUUAAGGUUUUCAAAUGACUUCUUACAUCUUUUCCAAACUUUUCUUUCACUACUGUU